rnacentral:rRNA from 1 species
ACACGGAGGGCGCAAGCGUUGCUCGGAAUCACUGGGCGUAAAGCGGGUGUAGGCGGUCUAGCAAGUCAGAUGUGAAAGCCCACGGCUCAACCGUGGAAGUGUAUCUGAAACUGCUAGACUUGAGUGCCGGAGAGGGAAGUGGAAUUCCUGGUGUAGGGGUGAAAUCCGUAGAUAUCAGGAGGAACACCGGUGGCGAAGGCGACUUCCUGGACGGCCACUGACGCUGAGACCCGAAAGCGUGGGGAGCAAACAGGAUUAGAAACCCUAGUAGUCC